AGCAGCCGCGGUAAUUCCAGCUCCAAUAGCGUAUAUUAAAGUUGUUGCAGUUAAAAAGCUCGUAGUUGAACUUCGGGGUCUACCCAUUGGUCAGGCUUAAUUGUCUGCACUGGUGAGAUGGAUCUCUACCCUUCUGAGGAACUUUCAUGCCAUUUAUUUGGUGUGAUGGGAAAUCAGGACUGUUACUUUGAAAAAUUAGAGUGUUUAAAGCAGACUAUCGUCUGAAUACAUUAGCAUGGAAUAAUGAAAUAGGACGGACUGAUUCUAUUUCGUUGGUUUCUAGGAUCACCGUAAUGAUUAAUAGGGAUAGUUGGGGGCAUUAGUAUUCAAUUGUCAGAGGUGAAAUUCUUGGAUUUAUUGAAGACUAACUACUGACGAAAGCAUUUGCCAAGGAUGUUUUCAUUAAUCAAGAAACGAAAGUUAGGGGAUCGAAAGACGAUCAGAUACCGUCGUAGUACUUAACCAUAAACUAUGCCGAUAGGGAUCGGACGUAAGGUUUAAUUUUAUAAUGACGUCGUUC
rnacentral:rRNA from 1 species